rnacentral:rRNA from 1 species
UGGCUGAAGGGGGAGUCACCAGUGGGUAACGUUCGUUAUAGAGGCGGAUCGCCUUAGGAAAUGAAGUCUAAUUCGGCAUAAGAAGUAGCAGUGGCAUCGCUUGAGGAUGAAUGGAGCAAUCCUCUAUAAGAUGGCGGCGUGGUGCAUCAGCUAGUUGAAGAGGGGUAGGCUCUCCAAGAGGAUGACCAGUCGCCGACGGGAGAGGGCGAUCGCCCGCAUCGGACGUGAGACACGGUCCAGGAUCAUACGGCAGGCAGCACUGGCGAAUACCACACAAUGGGCGAAAGCCUGAUGCAUCAACGGAUCGUAAAUGAUGAAGGGAAGGGAAUAAAAAAGCCUACUUUUUUGGGACGAUAAUGACGGUCCAAAGGAGCAAGCCCCGGCUAACUACGUGCCAGCAGCCGCGGUAAUAAU